GACGAGGUGGCCGAGUGGUUAAGGCGAUGGACUGCUAAUCCAUUGUGUUCUACACGCGUGGGUUCGAAUCCCAUCCUCGUCG
rnacentral:tRNA from 1 species